CUGCAUCGAGGCUGAAGAACAAAUCUCAGAAAGAAGCGGAGACACAUGUGCCAAGAUGUUACUGAAGUCAAAGAAGAACACGUGGAGUAUUUGUGUUACGCCUAGUAAGUUUAGAAUUUUACAGUUUGUUUGUUACUCUUUUACCUUGCUCUAAUAGUUAGUAAGAGUUAGUUGAAACUUUGUAUAUCUAUUGGCUGAGAUAAAUGUAUAUAAAGGCUGUAAUAACAGAUUCUGGAAUACGAUAAAAAAUUAUUUCCCUC
rnacentral:lncRNA from 1 species